UUGCUUCAGCAGCACAUAUGCUAAAAUUGGAACCAUACAGAGAAAAUUAGCAUGGCCCCUGCACAAGGAUGACAUGCAAAUUCAUGAAGCAUACUGUAUUUUU